rnacentral:rRNA from 1 species
UACAGAGGGUGCAAGCGUUAAUCGGAAUUACUGGGCGUAAAGCGUGCGCAGGCGGUUUUGUAAGCCAGAUGUGAAAGCCCCGGGCUCAACCUGGGAAUGGCAUUUGGGACUGCAAGGCUUGAGUGCGGCAGAGGAGACUGGAAUUCCUGGUGUAGCAGUGAAAUGCGUAGAUAUCAGGAGGAAUACCGAUGGCGAAGGCAGGUCUCUGGGCUGACACUGACGCUCAUGCACGAAAGCGUGGGGAGCAAACAGG